GCAUGGUUGAACUACCAGUUCCUGUACAAUCACUGAAGUUAAGCAACAUUGAGCCUGGACAGUACCUAGAUGAGUGACUGCAUGGGAAUACCAGAUGCUGUAAG